AAAACCGCACUGGCAAAUGUUACGAAGGUGGUCUCUGCUGUAUACAUAGUUUGUUAUACACCUUUUUUGAUGCGUGUGAUGUAUGACGUCUCUAUAAAUUCCCCGGACCAGAACAAAACCUACCACCACAUUACGAUGGUGCUGCUGUUCCUUAGUCCGUUACUGAAUCCUCUGAUUUACGUAGGCUGUAACAGACGCUACAGGGAGUAUCUUCUGGGGAGCUUUCGGAAAUUGUUGUCAAAGAUAAAACCGCAGUUACCUAACGACUACUCUGUGGAAGGCGAUACAGUUGUUACUAUCGAGAACAGUGAACCUGCAGGCGCGGCCAACACGAACACGACAACCGUCUGACCAACCCUUAAUUCAAUUCAUUUUAGUUCUGUUUUUGAUUGAAUAUCUAUAAAUGUUUUGAUCUUUUUUCCCAACAAAAUGUUUCAGUAUAUUCAGUAAAAUCUCAAAUUGUUAA